rnacentral:tRNA from 6 species
CCCGUUGGUCAAGCGGUUAAGACACCGCCCUUUCACGGCGGUAACACGGGUUCGAAUCCCGUACGGGUCA